AAGAAUUGAAUUUUCUCUGAUUGGAAUGGUUGUUGGAAUUUUGAAGACAAAGAUUUGAAAAACAUAACUACGGUAUCUAGGCUACUUGACAAUUGAACCGGUAGAGUACGGUGUUGACGUGUUAGUUGUUUUGACCGACAGUAGAAGGUAUCAAGCAGCAAAGUUGUGGUUUUGGGCAUUCCUCAUUCGUGUUCCUGCCCCUCUCAGUAUUUCUUUUAUACGUUGUUCAAUCUCGUUUAUUGUUACACUUUUUACUCAGUAUUUUUUAUUGCAAACAAAGUACCUCGUGCAUAACAACUAUGACACAGUCAAACAGCAACAACGUUGUGUAUUUACAGACUGCAUUACGAAACUUGGAGGAACGAUACAAGAAACUUCAAAAUCGAGUCGAGUCAUUACAAAUGGAAAAUGAAAGGCUGGUUACAAGCCGAACAGAGCUUGUGGUUGAAGUUGAACGCUUGCAGGACCAGCAAAUCCGUUUACGAGAACGGAAUUUAAGACUCACACAGGAGUUCCAUUCUAAGCAGCAAGAAUGCUCCCUCCUGGCUGAAAAAUUGACUAUAUUUGCUCGUGGCCGAGUUGGCAAUGCAUAUAAGACAGAUUCUGAAAGUUUCAAGUCAGAUCUGACAGAAGUCAAAGAAGAUCUUGAAGGAUCACAUGACAGCCUUGUUACAGUUGAGCUUUAUGGUGGUUCUGAUACAAGACCGAAAACACUUGAUGUCACAAGUCGCACAUAUUCUGAACCUAAUCUGAGUGCUAUUCAAAGAGAAUUGGAUUUGGUACGGAAAGGUCUUUGGUCCCCUGCUUUGGAAAACGCAAAAGGGACAGUUGUCGAAGAGUUGUCAUCAAAAAUAUUGCUCAGUCUAAAGAAAGGGCAGGGUGAGCUUGAAGAGCAGUGCUCAAGGAUGAUGGAAUUCCAACGUAACUCGAUGGAAGCAGUUCAAGGAUUAUCCAUUCUGUCAGAUGAAAAUGAUGAAACAGAUCCAAUGGAGUAUGUUCAACAGUGUACACAAACUGCACUUACUCUCAAAGAAAAAUUACAAAAUGAAAACUUGAAAUUACGUCAUCUGCAUCAAAUAUUAAGAAUGAACGCAGCAAAUGAAGCGGCAGCUGCGAGUGUUGUAACUCAAACAAGUUUCGACAUGCAUGCACCCGAUUUGGGCAGUUCGUCAGUGUGGAAAAACAUGAACCUACAAGACCGCAUUUGUCCUCUUUGUGAAAACAUGUUUUCGACGGUUAUAUCCCAAGACGAAUUUGUUGAUCACGUAAUGUCGCAUUUUGAAGAAACUUAAAAAACGAUUGAAUUCAACGGGUCUUUUGCCAUUUGCAAUAGCCUUAUUCUACUCAGAAUCCAUCUUCUGUCAUUAUAUACUUCGAACAGAACAAUUAUUUUUCACUAUCGUGGUUGACCCUUCGGUGCUUUUGUUUGUCGCUUCCAUAGGUUACGUGCGAAAGGAGUGUAGACCAUCAAGAAAAAAAAUACCGUUGAAAACGGGUCUUUUGCCAUUUGCAAUAGCCUUAUUCUACUCAGAAUCCAUCCUCUGUCAUUAUAUACUUCGAACAGAACAAUUAUUUUUCACUAUCGUGGUUGACCCUACGGGUAUUUUAUAGGAUUUGUUUUAAUGAGCAUAAUUCGGCCAAAACAUUUUUGGCUGGAUACAUUAUUAUCAUAUUAAACCAUUCGACGCGUAA
rnacentral:misc_RNA from 1 species